GACGAACGCUGGCGGCGUGCUUAACACAUGCAAGUCGAACGGAAAGGCCCUGCUUUUGUGGGGUGCUCGAGUGGCGAACGGGUGAGUAACACGGGGGUAACCUGCCCUUGACUUUGGGAUAACUUCAGGAAACUGGGGCUAAUACCGGAUAGGAGCUCCUGCUGCAUGGUGGGGGUUGGAAAGUUUCGGCGGUUGGGGAUGGACUCGCGGCUUAUCAGCUUGUUGGUGGGGUAGUGGCUUACCAAGGCUUUGACGGGUAGCCGGCCUGAGAGGGUGACCGGCCACAUUGGGACUGAGAUACGGCCCAGACUCCUACGGGAGGCAGCAGUGGGGAAUAUUGCACAAUGGGCGGAAGCCUGAUGCAGCAACGCCGCGUGCGGGAUGACGGCCUUCGGGUUGUAAACCGCUUUCGCCUGUGACGAAGCGUGAGUGACGGUAAUGGGUAAAGAAGCACCGGCUAACUACGUG
rnacentral:rRNA from 1 species